rnacentral:lncRNA from 1 species
GGUAAUCUACAUAAUAUAAAUCCCUACGUGAAGACACAUUAGUCAAAUUGCUAGAUCAUAGUCUCAGAAAACAAACAAGAGGUAUGGUCACACACUCAUCCUUUCUCCUUAUAUCACAUAAUUUCAAGCAUAAUUUUAUAAGACAGACGUUCAUAAUUGACCCAUGAUGCACUUUCUUAAUAGCUCCUUUUUCAAGAUGUCAGGGCGAUAAAAUACAAAGAGACGGCCGGCAAAUUGAAGGCAUGGCAACAACUCCAGCAACUUGCAUCCAAUAUACGCCUGCGACGCCCAAACGAUCGAAAGCACAAAGAAACGUCCAACAAGUUGAAGACACGACAUCAGCACCAUCAACCUCGGGUAAUAUCCACAUGCAAUUCUUCAUGUGUGUGCCUGCAUUUUGAUCUCAGCUCAACUUUGCUUAUAAUGAGAUGAGGCAAAGCUUUUGCCUCCGUUUCGAAAUAAAAACUUUGCUUAUAAUCUUCUAUCUCAAAACUCUUCUGAUACUGAACUAUAAAGCAUUUUUCAAUGCAUCCUGAUACUACCAUGAUAGUUCUGUGAAAUCUAUGAAAAGAGAAACACGGUUGAACAAUUAUUGAUUUAUGGUGCCUUGUCAGAUAAACAACAUUGAUCUCCAGUUGUACUGUAUGUGACACAUCCAUUAGUAGUCUCUUACAUCUACAAAUGCACUUGCAUAUCUGCAACGGCAAAACACUAUUAAGUACAACAUAAAUCAUAUUACAUGAUACUAUGUUAAGAAAAAUCUAUACACACUGACAAAAUCACAUUUGCAGAGAUGGGAGUACAGCAUAUGUCAGCCCCAGCAGCUCACCAUACAAAAAGAAAAAAAAGAACAACCUUUAAACUCAAGGAGUACAAAGCGGACAAGGACUGCAAAGGGAAGAAGAAAUACAAACACAGAGGAUCCUGAACGAUUGAGAAAGGCUAAUGCUGAAGAAGAUAAGGAAUUGAAGCGGGGAAGAAGAGAUACCAACAAACACAACAUUAGAGCAAAUGUUGGAGACAAUAACAGAACCAGAACCUCGACAAGUGCAAAUAGCAAACCGUGGAACUUCGGAAGACCGAUAUACAAAUGCCAAUAUUGCAAAGCAUUGCUAUGGUGUGAAGAAAGAUUAAAUUCAAACAAAGGAACUACGACACCCACUUUUGGAAUAUGCUGCAAACAGGGGAAAAUCGAUCUGCCGCCACUAAGAGAACCUCCACCAUACCUCAGAAACCUCUUAAGAAGUGAAGGGCAGGAUUCAGUAAACUUCAAAGAAAAUAUAAGGUCAUACAACUCAAUGUUCUCAUUCACAUCGAUGGGAGGAGUUGUGGACAAGGAAAUAAACACUAGCAAAGGACCUUAUGUUUUUCGUUUGCAUGGACAGAACUACCACCAUAUAGGAACUCUUUUACCUGAAGGUACAGACAAACCUCGGUUCGCACAGCUGUACAUCUAUAAUACAGAAAAUGAGGUGGAUAAUAGGAUAAGUGCGUCAAGAUGCAAUGAUAGUAAAUCAACAGUGGACCCCAACAUCGUCAAAGAACUGAAAGUAAUGCUCGACGACAAUAACAUCCUCGCAAAAACAUUCAGAAUGGCAAGAGAUAGAUUCCAGGAAGGAGACUACCAUGAUUACACACUUCGGAUGCUAGGCAAAAGGAACGGAACACACAACCUUCCAUCUGCAUCUGAAGUUGCAGCAUUGGUAGUAAGAGAUCCAACCGGAGAGAGUGAAGGACGUGACAUUGUUGUUGAGUACAAAAAUAUGGAGCCGCAAAGGAUAUCAGAGAUCCACCCGAAAUUCAUGUCCAUGCAAUAUCCGUUGUUGUUCCCAUAUGGAGAAGAUGGUUUUAAACUUGAGAUACCGUACAAGAAAACAAAAGGAGGUGCAAAUAGCAGGAAAUACGUAACGUUAUUGGACUACUAUGCAUUCUACCUACAACAACAUCCCGAUCAAGGAAUGUUACUACUCAAAUCUGGGCAUCUGUCACUGCAAUUUUGGGUGGAUGUAUACACAUGUAUCGAGGAAAAUAGACUAAACUGGAUCCGACACAAUCAAGGAAAGCUAUGAACUGAACUUUACAGUGGAUUGCAGGACGCAAUUGAGCGAGGGGACACAAGAACAGAGCAAGUUGGAAAGAGGAUAAUUGUGCCUUCAUCUUUUACAGGUGGUAGAAGAAAUAAGGCACAAUACUUGCAAGAUGCCUUUGCAAUAUGUUGUUGGGCUGGAUACCCAGACCUAUUUAUAACAUUCACAUGCAAUGCAAAGUGGCCUGAGAUCCAAUACAUGCUAGAUGAAGCGGGAGGUGGCCAAAAGCCAGCCGAUCGGCCAGAUAUUGUUGACAGGGUAUUUAUGAUCAAACUAAAGGAGCUAAUGAGAGACAUAAAAGAAAAAAAGUAACUUUGGAGAAACAGUUGCAAGUAAGUCCAUCGACUAUCAAUCUUUACUCUUUCAUGACUCUUCCUUUUUAGUAACAUGCAUCAUCUUAUAGUCGGUCAGACUCUACCUCUUCAGUAACAUGCAUUCCAGUUUUAGCUAAAUCUGACAAACUAUUAAUCAACUGCAGUCAUCUACACAAUAGAAUUCCAGAAGAGAGGACUCCCACAUGCCCACAUACUAAUAUUUUUUAAGGAUAAAGACAAGUACCCAGAACCACCGCAAAUCGACAAAAUAAUAAGCGCUGAGAUCCCAAACAAGGAUGAGGAUCCGGAGGCAUUUGAAGCUGUUGAGAACUUCAUGAUGCAUGGCCCGUGCGGAGAGGCUAAGAAAAACUCACCAUGCAUGGUGGACCAUAGAUGCACCAAGCAUUUCCCAAAAAGAUACAAUGUCAGUACUACCAUUGACGAGGAUGGGUUUCCAGUAUAUAAAAGGAGGGAUGACGGAAGGCAGAUCAAAAAUGGAGGAGUGAUGCUCGACAACAGAUUUGUCGUGCCAUACAACCGGAAUCUUCUGGUCAAAUUUCAAGCUCAUAUAAAUGUCGAGUGGUGCAAUAGGUCCAGAUCAAUCAAGUACCUAUUCAAGUAUAUCCAUAAAGACGAUGACCAUGUUACAGCCUUGCUCAAGGAAAGGGGCACGGCAAACGAAACUGACGAGAUCAAGAAAUACCUAGAGAUAAGAUACAUAUCAACAUCAGAAGCAUGUUGGAGGAUAUUUCAGUUUGAUCUUCAGUAUCGUGAUCCAGCAGUUGAGAGACUACCUUUCCAUCUUGAAAUGAGCAGCAAGUCGUUUUUCCAGACUCCACUGACCUUGAAAAGAUAGUAACAAGGGAAGGAUCUAAAAUUACCAAGUUCACUCAGUGGAUGGAGGCAAAUAAAAUAUACGAGCUAGGGAAAGAAUUGACUUACGCAGAAUUCCCUACAAAGUUUGUAUGGAAAAGCGAAACAAAAACUUGGCAAAGGCGAAAAAGGGACUACGCAAUUGGAAGAAUCUAUUAUGCACAUCCCGCAAGUGGAGAGCGAUACCAUAUGAGGAUGCUUCUAAACACCAAGAAAGGAUGCAGAUCAUUUGAGGACAUUAGGACCGUUGAUGGAGUCACUCACCCAACAUACAAAUCAGCAUGCCAAGCCCUCGGAUUUCUCGAUGAUGACACUGAGUGGAUUGACUGUAUCAAUGAAGCAUCAAGUUGGGCAUCCGGAACACAACUGCGUCAGUUAUUCACCACCAUAUUGUCCCAUUGCGAAGUCACAAACCCAAAGAUACUGUGGGAUUCAACAUGGGAGGCGCUGUGUGAAGAUAUGCAAUACAAAAGAAGGACUAUUCUAAACUUUCCGGCACUUCGGCUCACAAACACACAGAAAAAAGCCUAUGGUUUGAUUGAGAUAGAAAAACUGAUGAGGCAAGUAGGAAAGUCACUAAAGGACUAUCCAGACAUAGAACUACUAAAAUGCCGCAGAGCUAGACGAACUUGGGAAUAGGCUAAUAAACGAAGAGGUCAACUACGACAUGGACAAACUCAAGGAUGAGCACAAUAUCAUACUAAACAAUCUUAACCAAGACCAGAAAAAAGCCUAUGAUGCAGUUAUGGAAUCAGUCGACAGAGGACAAGGAAAGCAGAUAUUUCUCGAAGGCUACGGUGGCACAGGAAAAACCUAUCUAUGGAAAGCAAUAACGACAAAGCUAAGGUCAGAGGGGAAGAUAGUGCUUGCAGUAGCAUCAUGUGGCAUUGCAGCGUUGCUUCUCCAAGGUGGGAGAACGACACACUCAAGGUUCCGCAUUCCACUUAAUAUCACUGAAGAAUCAACGUGUGAAAUAAAACAAGGGUCGCAUUUGGCUGAAUUGCUAAAGAAGACAUCACUUAUAUUGUGGGACGAAGCUCCUAUGGCAAAGAAACACUGCUUUGAGGCACUAGACAAAAGCCUUAGAGAUAUUCUCAGGUUCACUAAUGAAAACAGCAAUGAAAAGCCAUUUGGUGGAAUGACAGUUAUACUAGGAGGCGACUUCAGACAAAUCCUGCCAGUUAUAACCAAAGGAAGGAGAGAGCAGAUAGUUAAUGCUUCAAUCAAAAGGUCAUAUCUGUGGAAACACUUUGAAAUAUUUGAGUUAACACAAAACAUGCGGCUGAAGUGUUUGUCGGAUGAUCCAAUACAAAAGUAAAAAGUAGCUGAAUUUGCAGAGUGGAUACUACAGAUUGGCGAUGGGAAAACAACAUCAGAUGAAGGAGAGGAUUGGAUAAAAAUACCAAAGGACCUACUGCUAGAGAAAGGAGAAAAUCGUAAGGAACAAAUCGUCAAAAGCAUAUACCCAAACUUACUGCAAAAAUACCAUGAGCGGGAUUACCUAGAAGAAAGAGCAAUAUUAUGUCCAAGAAAUGAUACCGUCAAGGAGAUAAACGACCACAUAAUGAGCCAAAUACAAGGUGAAGAUGUCACAUACCUAAGCCUGGACACAGUGUGCAAGGCCACGACAAACACCAACAUCAUGAUGAACAUGCAGCCUACUGAGUUCCUCAACACCUUGACAUCCCCAGGAAUCCCAGACCAUAAGUUAACACUGAAGGUGGGUUUGCCGGUAAUGCUACUACGCAACAUCAACCAAGCAGCAGGUUUAUGCAAUGGUACAAGAAUGACAAUUACACAACUUGGAAACAAAUACAUCGAGACACAAAUAAUCACAGGAACACACGUCGGCGACAAGGUAUACAUACCUCGAAUCAUCAUGUCACCAAGUGACUCAAAAUGGCCAUUCGUACUGAAAAGAAGGCAAUAUCCAUUAUCAGCGUGCUUCGCGAUGACGAUAAACAAGAGCCAAGGUCAGUCCUUAAACAAGGUAGGCAUAUAUUUGCCUAAGCAAGUGUUCUGCCAUGGACAACUAUAUGUCGCACUAUCAAGAGUGACAAACAAAGAAGGAUUGAAGGUGCUGAUUGAUGACGAAGAGUGUCCAACUGAAGAUGUCGCAAAGAAUAUUGUCUACAAAGAGAUAUUUUGACUGACUGUGCAGUUGAUCAAGUCUAUAAAACUAUAAUUCUCGCUAGACAAUUCAUGUAUGAUUAUAUAGUCACAGACAACCUUACCAUACAUAAUCAACAACAUAUGUACUUGCUCGACAACUAUAUAUAUAUGUUUGAUCUUUCCUCAAAAUAUUAAUUUUUAAUUAGUUAUUUAUCCUUGAAUGUUUUUAACACAAUAAAUAUCAGCAGAUGAAACAAUGAAAUCACCAAUGGAUUCCACCUACAAAGCCACGAUCAACAACAAUAAAAUCUAUUAACGAAUAAUAUCAAAAUCCAAAUCUUUUAACAUUCUAGAGAAAGUUCACCAAUUAAUUACGCCUAAAUAGGCAUUACUAAUCUCUCACACUCAACAAUCAAAUCUCUCUCACGGAUAGUUUCCAAGUCCCCAUAUCUACUCUAUUUGUCCCUCUAAAAAAAGGCAUUAGCCUACUCUAUGUAUGUGUACAUACGGAUCUUUUCUCUUUCAGUAAACAUACAAAUUUCUGUUCAUCAGUUCUGUAACCGUGAACUGACUCUUUCAUGUUUGUACAGAUAAUUUCUUUCUACAAUAAUGUUUCUAUAAACUUCGAGAAGUAAAUUUUUAGAGCAAAAAAUACAGAUCGUACAUUUUUCAUUUCGCAAUGGAUACAAAAUCUAUUGAAUGUACCAUCAUAUCUCCAGUACCAAUUACUUCUAGAAGAUCACAAUCCUAAUUUUAAUUCCUCUAAUGAAUAGUCCCCAAAUCUCAAUCUCCGUUGAAUUAGCUCCAUCAAAAAGUGCAUGCAGCAUGGAGAUUUCAAUAUCUUCUUUAUUCAAUCUUGAGCGUGGUUGUCGCAUGGAUAUUUUACUAAACAAUUUCUAAUCUGGGAUGAAAUUACAACGCAUAAUCUGUGAAAGCUUCUAAUUUUGGAAAACGUAUAGCCAAAUAUCCAAAUUUAAUUCAACAGAAAAAAUAUGUUAAUGAAAUUAUGAUGCACAUUAUGCAAAGCAAGAGGCAAAUGGGAUAGCACAAAGGGAUUCAUACCUGUCAGUACGUCUGCAGCCUAAGACGACAGGAACAACACACAGAAGAUGGCCCCUCAACCAAAUCACAAAACUAUAUGUCCAAGCGCCAAUGGACGGCCUCGCUGGUGGGCAAGACCUGAUCCGCAGCGCAUGUCCUGCCCUCGGCAAAAACUGGCCACAAACGUCACCUCCUCCAAGAUUUGGCCAUGGAUGGGCAAGCAAAUCAAUCUGGUACAACAACAACACUUACAAUUUGGUACAACAUCUCCCCAUGGACGGGAGGGCACUCAAAUUUGGGGCGGCAGCAUCAGUUUCUUUUUCCGCUAGCAAUUUGGUACAGCAUCGCUCCAUGGACGGGCAGGGCACUCAGAUUUGGGGUAGAAUCACCCAUGGACUGGCUGCCUCGAUUUCUUUCAAUUCCCUUCAAAGGCGAAGAAGAAAGGAAAUGUUUUUUUUCCACU